AUUGAACGCUGGCGGCAGGCCUAACACAUGCAAGUCGAACGAGUGGCGGACGGGUGAGUAAUGCCUGGGAAACUGCCUGGUAGAGGGGGAUAACGACUGGAAACGGGAGCUAAUACCGCAUACCAUCAGAUGUGCCCAGGUGGGAUUAGCUAGUAGGUGGGGUAAAGGCUUACCUAGGCGACGAUCCCUAGCUGGUCUGAGAGGAUGACCAGCCACACUGGAACUGAGACACGGUCCAGACUCCUACGGGAGGCAGCAGUGGGGAAUAUGGGACAAUGGGCGAAAGCCUGAUCCAGCCCUGCCGCGUGUAUGAAGAAGGUCUUCGGGUUGUAAAGUACUUUAAGAGGGGAGGCGUUACCAGCAGAAGAAGCACCGGCUAACUUCGUGCCAGCAGCCGCGGUAAUUC
rnacentral:rRNA from 1 species